ACUCCUGGCAUGAAGUGACCGCCAUCCAUCUAUGAGGCCCUAAACUGAAGAGGGAAACUUUUACAAAAUACAACCUCUUAGCUACACUCAAGGAUGAUCAACUGUGGCUGCUGUAUCUGAGCAUUAUGAAGGUGAAAGCUUGCCCUUGUGGAGGAUGCUGACAAGAGCUAGGAAAGAACAUUCUUCAAGUGUCACACAAAACUUUCUCUUGUCUUUUUUUUUUUUUAACCGAUGUGAUGCUGACAACAUCUGAAGAGCAUCCGUGGUGGAGCCAGAAAUUUUCCAUAUUCAGAUCUUACAUAUAUCCACACUGGGCUUGACAGAGGAGAGAGAGAGAGAGAGAGAGAGAGAGAGAGAGAGAGAGAGAGAGAGAGAGAGAGAGAAAGAGAGAGAGAGAGAGAGAGCACAGGAUACUUGGUGAAGUCUGUCUCUAGAAAAAAAUAUUUAUUUUAAUUUUGUCUUUAUAAAGGACACAAUGAUUACAUCUUUCCAUACAGAAAUGCACUGGGCUCUUUUGGAGCAGCUGAUUGAUGAAGUAGCUAUAACUAAGGUACUCUUCUACUCUGCCAUUGCCAUAGGGUUGUGUCUCCUCCCCCCAAAGUAAUAGCUAAGAUGUAUACAUCAGUUAUACACACUAAUGUGCUGUCCAAACUGCUUUACUGUGCCUUAGGUACAUCGAUGCAUUAUUUGUGGGAACUGGAAUGUAGAAACACCUGAGGACCACCUACCUGCUCAGGAAUGGUCCCAGCUGCAAUUACAAUAGGUCUACAUCAAUCAAGGUAAUCAAAAGAUAAGGACAUUCCUCACAGGCACAGCACCCAGGGACCCACUCCUAGGUGACCAGGCGUCCUGUGCCAUGUGAUCCUGCCCUGACAUGCUGAGCCACUAUAGACACAAAGGAAUAGGGUUUCUGGGGCAAAACAACCAGGCUGAUCAGCCAGGGACUUCUGGGGAUCUCCCAUGGCGUCCAGCACUUCCUCAGUGGAACUCGAAGACAGAGUGCCUUCCUGUUUGACUCAUGGGCAAGAGGAGAUUCCAGCAUUUUCUCAACCACCUGUCCUUUGCAGCACUGGGUGAUGAAUACAACCCAAAUAAUACACCAUUGUCUCAUCAGUUGUGAGCUGAUGACAUCAAAAGGCACAAUAACAAGAACACCAGGAAGCAGAUGGCAAAAGCUUCUACCUCAAAAGUCUUACCAGCAACAGAUCAGUCUCUAUUAAAACGCCUGUCUUUUUA